rnacentral:lncRNA from 1 species
UACUACUCACUAUUUUCUCUACUAUUGCUGAGCACUCUACUCCUUUCUCUCCUGUUGUCUGAAUCUCCUAGACUUCCUCUGAACUCCCAAGUACUUGUUCAUGUUCCUUGAGUUUGUCCUGAUUACUGCCUGGCUGUUUAUUUGGUGUUGUUAUUCUGCUAUUCUAUAACUUGCACCUGGCAUGUUUUCUUAGUUAAAUAGAAGCCUCUUUAUUAUGUGUUCACUCUUCCUCUUCUACACUUCUUUCCAUGUGUGUUUACUAAUGCUUUACUGCGUUAGGUGAUUACCUUCAAGCAUACUAUGCCUCUUUCUUAAUGUUUUCAAUCUGUUAUGCUGUUAAUCUUUUCUCCAUAUUCCCUUUGUAUGUGAGUAUUGUCCUGAACCAUGGCAGCACAUUGAAUUGCUGUGUGUGAUCCAGAACUAGACUCCCCUGAGUCUUUACUCAAUUUCUUUCCCAUUCCAUCUCCCUUUUAGGUGUUGAGCUUUAAUUUGGGUAUGCUGGUGUCCUAAUCACCAUUCAUACCUAAGUUUGACUAUCUAAGAAUUUGCUCUUAUUUGUUUGAAUCUAAGCAAGGGGUCAUGGGUCUGCCAGUCUAUACCAUGGUUGGGUAAGACCAUCUCCUACUGUGGUUACUCCCUCACUUUGCACUUACUCCAAGUUGUUAAGUUCUACCCCGCUUUGGUAAGCCAUGCUUAGGGACGCUGGAGUUCCCUCUGAACUUGGAUGCCUAAGGGUUGGUAAUUCCACACUUGCACUAUUUUGUUACAACAUUUUCUCUUCGGAGUGUAAACAUUUCCUAGGCUCUUGAGCUCCUUAGAACUUUGAAACACUCUGAAUAAGAGAAGGCCAUAGAAUCUGGAAUCCGGAUUUUGUGAAACACA